rnacentral:sRNA from 1 species
AGUGUAAAGUCCAGCAGGUGGAAGGACUAGGCCUGGGACUCCUGGGUCCCCGGCAGUGUCUGGAGGCAUGGCUGGGGCUGGCAGGGGCCUCGGGGUCUGGGGGAACCUGGUGCUGCUGGGCCUGUGCAGCUGGACAGGGGCCAGGGCGCCCGGUGAGUGACCCCUGCCUGAACUCACUGCCCACUCGAAGAGACCCUCCUUCCCAAUUCUCAGCCCCCAACCCAGGGAGGAACCUGACAGUGGAGACUCAGACCACCAGCUCCAUCUCCCUGAGCUGGAAGGCCCCUGAUGGCACAGACUCACAGAACUCCAACUAUUCGGUUCAGUGCACUGGAGAUGGUGGCAGAUCAGAGACUCGAACCACAAGAUACACCGUCAUUGUGUAUGGACUUGGACCCGGGUCAUUGUAUACGUGUUCUGUGUCGGUGGAGAAAGACGGAGUAAAUAGCUCUGUGGGGACUGUCACUGGUGCCACAGCUCCCAACCCAGUGAGGAACCUGAGAGUGGAGGCUCAGACCAACAGCUCCAUCACCCUGACCUGGGAGGCCGAUGGCCCAGACCCACA